CCUACGUGAGGCAGCAGUGGGGAAUUUUGGACAAUGGGGGGAACCCUGAUCCAGCGACGCCGCGUGAGUGAAGACGUCUUUCGGUAUGUAAAGCUCUAUCAGCAGGGAAGAAAAAAAUGACGGUACCUGACUAAGAAGCCCCGGCUAACUACGUGCCAGCAGCCGCGGUAAUACGUAGGGGGCAAGCGUUAUCCGGAUUUUCUGGGUGUAAAGGGAGCGUGGAGGGCGUUGCACGUCUGAAGUGAAAGGCGGGGGCUCAACCCCCGGACUGCAUUGGUGACUGGAUGGCUAGAGUGCAGGAGGGGUGACUGGAAUUCCUGGUGUAGCGGUGAAAUGCGUAGAUAUCAGGAGGAACACCAGUGGCGAAGGCAGCUUACUGGCACGUAACUGACGCUGAGGAGCGAAAGCAUGGGUAGCAAACAGGAUUAGAUACCCCAGUAGUC
rnacentral:rRNA from 1 species